rnacentral:rRNA from 1 species
AAUCAACGCUGGCGGCGUGCCUCAGACAUGCAAGUCGAACGAUUAAAGCUCUCUUCGGAGAGUGCAUAGAGUGGCGCACGGGUGAGUAACACGUAAGUAAUCUACCUUCGAGUGGGGAAUAACGUCCGGAAACGGACGCUAAUACCGCAUAAUGCAGCGGCAUCGUAAGAUGACAGUUGUUAAAGAUUUAUCGCUUGAAGAGGAGCUUGCGGCAGAUUAGCUAGUUGGUAAGGUAAUGGCUUACCAAGGCUACGAUCUGUAACCGGUCUUAGAGGACGGUCGGUCACACUGACACUGAAUAACGGGUCAGACUCCUACGGGAGGCAGCAGUCGGGAAUUUUGGGCAAUGGGCGAAAGCCUGACCCAGCAACGCCGCGUGAAGGAUGAAGUAUUUCGGUAUGUAAACUUCGAAAGAAUAGGAAGAAU